UACGUAGGGUGCGAGCGUUGUCCGGAAUUACUGGGCGUAAAGAGCUCGUAGGUGGUUUGUCGCGUUGUUCGUGAAAACUCACAGCUCAACUGUGGGCGUGCGGGCGAUACGGGCAGACUGGAGUACUGCAGGGGAGACUGGAAUUCCUGGUGUAGCGGUGGAAUGCGCAGAUAUCAGGAGGAACACCGGUGGCGAAGGCGGGUCUCUGGGCCGUUACUGACGCUGAGGAGCGAAAGCGUGGGGAGCGAACAGG
rnacentral:rRNA from 1 species